rnacentral:rRNA from 1 species
CACGUAGGGCGCAAGCGUUGUCCGGAAUUAUUGGGCGUAAAGAGCUCGUAGGCGGUCUGUUGCGUCCGCUGUGAAAACCCGGGGCUUAACCCCUGGCUUGCAGUGGAUACGGACAGACUAGAGGUAGGUAGGGGAGAAUGGAAUUCCCGGUGUAGCGGUGAAAUGCGCAGAUAUCGGGAGGAACACCGGUGGCGAAGGCGGUUCUCUGGGCCUUACCUGACGCUGAGGAGCGAAAGCGUGGGGAGCUAACAGG